GGUUGUAACUCGAGGCGUGAACACCAUUCAUUUCCAUCCGCCACCAUCUGCAUAUAUCAACCGCUGCAUCUAACAGUGCAUGAGUUGGGACUACAUGCAUUUCGAAGAGCUCGGACAGUGCAUCUCAACAAUCGUGUCUUCCUCCCCGUCGCCGUCAACAUUUUGGCUGCUCUGUACUUAGUCUGCCCCUUGACCUUGACCCUUCCACCACGAAGGCCCCCUUCCCACAGGAAAUUAUGUAAAAUAUGAAAUUUGUAAAAAUCUGCACAAUCCUGCCGCCCGUACGAGUAUUCGGACCUUCCGUACGAGUAUUCGGACCUUCCGUUCUCCACGAAAUUGACCUUUUUCGAGAGCUUCAUUUUCUCCCCAACUUCGUCCUCACCUUUGACACCAUCUCCUCCAAACUGAUCACUUCUUGGGGAAAGUGGGGUGAAAGACUGGGUCACGCCGGAGGUGACGCGACUCGAACUAACACCAUAAUUCAGAAGUCAAUACCGAUCAAUUUUACGGCGCGUCGUGGCGCCCCAAUGUUGUACGAAUAGGAAAUUAGAUUUGUCGGCGGUGCGUAAAAGUCUCGGCGGAGUUGAACGUAAUUUGUAAAUGUAUUUUAAUAAUGCUCAUAUACAAAAUAUUACAAAAUUUCGUGUGUAAAUAAAUGCUCAUUUUAUGAUGAUAAGAUAAAAAAUGUCGUCCGGUGCAAAAAUUUUAACGAGUAUCGAACCCGCAAUCACUGGAU